rnacentral:rRNA from 1 species
GAUGAACGCUGGCGGCGUGCCUAAUACAUGCAAGUCGAGCGAACAGACGAGGAGCUUGCUCCUCUGACGUUAGCGGCGGACGGGUGAGUAACACGUGGAUAACCUACCUAUAAGACUGGGAUAACUUCGGGAAACCGGAGCUAAUACCGGAUAAUAUAUUGAACCGCAUGGUUCAAUAGUGAAAGACGGUUUUGCUGUCACUUAUAGAUGGAUCCGCGCCGCAUUAGCUAGUUGGUAAGGUAACGGCUUACCAAGGCAACGAUGCGUAGCCGACCUGAGAGGGUGAUCGGCCACACGGGAACUGAGACACGGUCCAGACUCCUACGGGAGGCAGCAGUAGGGAAUCUUCCGCAAUGGGCGAGAGCCUGACGGAGCAACGCCGCGGGAGUGAUGAAGGUCUUCGGAUCGGAAAACUCUGUUAUUAGGGAAGAACAAAUGUGUAAGUAACUAUGCACGUCUUGACGGUACCUAAUCAGAAAGCCACGGCUAACUACGUG